CAGAGAAUAGUUUAUUUAAAAUAUUAGUUUUGGGGAUUAAUGAUAGGGAGGUUCUCUUUCUCUGA
rnacentral:tRNA from 1 species